rnacentral:rRNA from 1 species
GCUGGCGGCAUGCCUAACACAUGCAAGUCGAACGAGAAAGUCACUUCGGUGGCGAGUACAGUGGCGCACGGGUGAGUAACACGUAGGUGACCUGCCCUUCAGCGGGGGACAACUAGAAGAAAUUUUAGCUAAUACCGCAUACGAAAAAUCAAUUUGAAUAAGAUUUUUGAAAGGAUGCCUCUAUACUAUGCAUUCACUGAAGGAUGGGCCUGCGGGACAUUAGCUUGAUGGUGGGGUAAUGGCCUACCAUGGCGACGAUGUCUAGCCGGAUUGAGAGAUUGAUCGGCCACACUGGAACUGAGACACGGUCCAGACUCCUACGGGAGGCAGCAGUGGGGAAUAUUGCGCAAUGGACGAAAGUCUGACGCAGCAACGCCGCGUGAGUGAGGAAGGGUUUCGGCCUGUAAAGCUCUGUCAGAGUGGAAGAACUGUCAUUGGUCCAAUAGGCCUUUGAUUUGACGGUACACUCAAAGGAAGCACCGGCUAACUUCGUGCCAGCAGCCGCGGUAAUACCAAGGGUGCAAGCGUUGUUCGGAUUUAUUGGGCGUAAAGCGCGCGCAGGCGGAUUAUU